UACGGGGGGAGCAAGCGUUGUUCGGAUUUAUUGGGCGUAAAGGGCGCGUAGGCGGCCAGCACAAGUCAGUUGUGAAAUCUCCGGGCUUAACUCGGAAAGGUCAACUGAUACUGUGCGGCUAGAGUGCAGAAGGGGCAACUGGAAUUCUCGGUGUAGCGGUGAAAUGCGUAGAUAUCGAGAGGAACACCUGCGGCGAAGGCGGGUUGCUGGGCUGACACUGACGCUGAUGCGCGAAAGCCAGGGGAGCGAACGGG
rnacentral:rRNA from 1 species